AUGAACGCUAGCUACAGGCUUAACACAUGCAAGUCGAGGGGCAGCAUGGUCUUAGCUUGCUAAGGCCGAUGGCGACCGGCGCACGGGUGAGUAACACGUAUCCAACCUGCCGUCUACUCUUGGACAGCCUUCUGAAAGGAAGAUUAAUACAAGAUGGCAUCAUGAGUCCGCAUGUUCACAUGAUUAAAGGUAUUCCGGUAGACGAUGGGGAUGCGUUCCAUUAGAUAGUAGGCGGGGUAACGGCCCACCUAGUCUUCGAUGGAUAGGGGUUCUGAGAGGAAGGUCCCCCACAUUGGAACUGAGACACGGUCCAAACUCCUACGGGAGGCAGCAGUGAGGAAUAUUGGUCAAUGGGCGAGAGCCUGAACCAGCCAAGUAGCGUGAAGGAUGACUGCCCUAUGGGUUGUAAACUUCUUUUAUAAAGGAAUAAAGUCGGGUAUGGAUACCCGUUUGCAUGUACUUUAUGAAUAAGGAUCGGCUAACUCCGUGCCAGCAGCCGCGGUAAUACGGAGGAUCCGAGCGUUAUCCGGAUUUAUUGGGUUUAAAGGGAGCGUAGAUGGAUGUUUAAGUCAGUUGUGAAAGUUUGCGGCUCAACCGUAAAAUUGCAGUUGAUACUGGAUAUCUUGAGUGCAGUUGAGGCAGGCGGAAUUCGUGGUGUAGCGGUGAAAUGCUUAGAUAUCACGAAGAACUCCGAUUGCGAAGGCAGCCUGCUAAGCUGCAACUGACAUUGAGGCUCGAAAGUGUGGGUAUCAAACAGGAUUAGAUACCCUGGUAGUCCACACGGUAAACGAUGAAUACUCGCUGUUUGCGAUAUACUGCAAGCGGCCAAGCGAAAGCGUUAAGUAUUCCACCUGGGGAGUACGCCGGCAACGGUGAAACUCAAAGGAAUUGACGGGGGCCCGCACAAGCAGCGGAGCAUGUGGUUUAAUUCGAAGCAACGCGAAGAACCUUACCUGCUCUUGACAUCCCGGUGACGGCAGAGUAAUGUCUGCUUUUCUUCGGAACACCGGUGACAGGUGGUGCAUGGUUGUCGUCAGCUCGUGUCGUGAGAUGUUGGGUUAAGUCCCGCAACGAGCGCAACCCUUAUCCUUUGUUGCCAGCGGUCCGGCCGGGAACUCAAAGGAGACUGCCAGUGAUAAACUGGAGGAAGGUGGGGAUGACGUCAAAUCAGCACGGCCCUUACGUCCGGGGCUACACACGUGUUACAAUGGGGGGUACAGAGGGCCGCUACCACGCGAGUGGAUGCCAAUCCCAAAAACCUCUCUCAGUUCGGACUGGAGUCUGCAACCCGACUCCACGAAGCUGGAUUCGCUAGUAAUCGCGCAUCAGCCACGGCGCGGUGAAUACGUUCCCGGGCCUUGUACACACCGCCCGUCAAGCCAUGGGAGCCGGGGGUACCUGAAGUGCGUAACCGCGAGGAGCGCCCUAGGGUAAAACUGGUGACUGGGGCU
rnacentral:rRNA from 1 species